rnacentral:rRNA from 1 species
UACAGAGGUCUCAAGCGUUGUUCGGAUUCAUUGGGCGUAAAGGGUGCGUAGGUGGCGCGGUAAGUCGGGUGUGAAAUUUCGGAGCUUAACUCCGAAACUGCAUUCGAUACUGCCGUGCUUGAGGACUGGAGAGGAGACUGGAAUUUACGGUGUAGCAGUGAAAUGCGUAGAGAUCGUAAGGAAGACCAGUGGCGAAGGCGGGUCUCUGGACAGUUCCUGACACUGAGGCACGAAGGUCAGGGGAGCAAACGGG